GUUAGUGUUAAUUAAGUGCCUCAUCAUUUUUGUGGAUCUUUCUUUUCUUGCAAAUUAGUACUACAAGCCUUUGCGGAUAAUGGAUAUCGAUUAUGGCAAGUGUUGGGACACUUCGAAGAAGUCUUGGAAGAGUACACUGAUUCUGGCUUAUCAGAGUCUUGGGGUAGUGUAUGGUGAUCUCAGUAUUUCCCCUCUCUAUGUCUACAAGAGCACAUUUGCAGAAGACAUUCAUCAUUCUGAAACUAAUGAAGAGAUUUUUGGCGUUCUCUCUUUCGUUUUUUGGACUUUAACACUAGUUCCUCUAUUCAAAUAUGUCUUUAUCGUGCUUCGAGCUGAUGACAAUGGAGAAGGUGGUACUUUUGCGCUCUAUUCCUUAAUAUGCAGGCAUGCCAAAGUUAGCCUUCUACCUAACAGACAAGUUGCUGAUGAAGCUCUUUCUACCUACAAACUUGAGCACCCUCCUGAGAUGAAGAACAGCUCAAAGUUGAAGUUGCUUCUUGAGAAGCAUAAGUCCUUACACACUGCUCUGCUAAUUUUGGUACUUCUUGG
rnacentral:misc_RNA from 1 species